GACGAACGCUGGCGGCGUGCUUAACACAUGCAAGUCGAACGAAGAGCGACGGAAGCUUGCUUCUAUCAAUCUUAGUGGCGAACGGGUGAGUAACGCGUAAUCAACCUGCCCUUCAGGGGGGGACAACAGUUGGAAACGACUGCUAAUACCGCAUACGAUCUAACCUCGGCAUCGAGGAUAGAUGAAAGGUGGCCUCUACAUGUAAGCUAUCACUGAAGGAGGGGAUUGCGUCUGAUUAGCUAGUUGGAGGGGUAACGGCCCACCAAGGCGAUGAUCAGUAGCCGGUCUGAGAGGAUGAACGGCCACAUUGGGACUGAGACACGGCCCAGACUCCUACGGGAGGCAGCAGUGGGGAAUCUUCCGCAAUGGACGAAAGUCUGACGGAGCAACGCCGCGUGAGUGAUGACGGCCUUCGGGUUGUAAAGCUCUGUUAAUCGGGACGAAAGGCCUUCUUGCGAAUAGUGAGAAGGAUUGACGGUACCGGAAUAGAAAGCCACGGCUAACUACGUG
rnacentral:rRNA from 1 species